rnacentral:lncRNA from 1 species
UGCAAAUCAACACUUAAUCAGUGGGGCAAACUCAUCCCAAAAUACUUUUCAAUAUCCGGUAAAUUAUAAACGCAUAUUUUUACCACUCGUAUAAUUUCAACGACAGAUAUUAAUCAUUCUCUUUACAAUUCUAUUCUUUGAAACGUCUCUGUUUUCAGAGAAUUAUGUCGUAGGUAGAGGUAGUUAACAACCUAAACACUCUUNCCAAAUUGGGAGGAUUGACUCAAUCUAGAUCUAUACAUCUUCGAAUAAAAAUCUUCAAUAUAACAAUUUGUCUAUAACCGACACUAUUCGUCGCUCCUCCACAAGCCAAAAAGGCACAAUAAACAAGCCACACAGGCACAAUAUAAAUAUAAAUGGAGGAAUCGAGAUCAUUACUAACGUUUUAAAGCAGUCGUAUAGUAACGAAGAAAGAAACACUUGACGCCUGUUGCCUCGUCAGACGAAGUUGUAGCUAGCAACCACAGACGGAAAAUAACCAUUCACAUAAAUCUUUCCAUAAUAAAUAGAUCUACACCAAGGUUCUUUAUUAUAAAUCUAUGCCGUGUGCAUAGACCUACAGUAUAUGAUUCCUCCUGGAUUAACGGUUAUAGAGCUAGGUGUCGAUUCCAGGAUUUGAUCCUUACAAAGGAAAAAUACACCAUCAUAAAACUCUCUCUUUCACCCCUUUCGAUACAUUCCUCCCACAAACACACACGGGAUACACAAUCCACGAAAUCCAUGACAAUAAUUCUUCAACGCAUAAAAUUCGUCGUUCACUAGGGUCACUAUCGCGAAUCUUAUAUUAUUAAGAUUUUCGAAGCUUAGUGAAAUUAGUUAAAUAGGGAAAUUAACGUAGCGUUCGACCAUUGUGACGAUAAUAGUUUGUAUAGUUCAUUACUUCAGCCGAUAAAGAGGAUGUUCGUUCGCGUAGCCGAAUACUCAUUUAUGCAAAUACUCGAUAAAUUGCAUAAUUGAUAUGCCGUAUAAUUUAUUAGGUAAUAAUCCCCAAAAAUCAGAGAAUUAAUUAUAUUAUCAUAUGUGACGAGUUUCGUAUCACAACUAAAAUAAUUUAUAUUUUUAUAGUAAUUAUAAAAAUAAAUUAUAUCGUUUACUUAGCAAUCGUUUCCACAUUAUGAUCGGGAGUAUAAUAAUAAUAAUAAUUGAUUUUUGUUAUAUUUUCAAUUAAUUAUUAUAUAUUUGUCAAAUCUUUGUUUAUAGUCGUUUAAGACAAUGUACAUUUCCGUUGUACACAAUUUUGUUGAAUAGCAUAUUUUGUUAUGUAUAUAAUGUUUUUUUAACGUUUUCUCAAUACUUUCAUGUACAUAUAUACGACGAGUAUUACAGUUUAUAAUUCGUCGAAUAACUUAUAUCUUCAUAUCAAUCUACUUAUAAUCGUGUGAUUUUUAUUAAUAUUAAUUAAUAUAUCACAACAAUUUAUAAUUAUAUCAUUCAUAGCAUCCUACUAUUACUUACAUAAUUUAUUAAUGCUUUAUACUUUUUAGAUUGUUAUUUUCAUAAAAUCUUAACCAAUAAUAAAGUUUGAUGUUAUUUUAUGUAUAAAAACUUGAAAAUCAUCAAAACUUUAAAUAGACACUCAUGUAUUCUCCCCCAAAAUUAAAAUUGUAAAAGAGGGGCCGUAGAAACUCACAUUUGGUGCGUGUUUCUCGAGUUUAGAUUGGAGGUUCGGUGAGGUUCUUGCUUCGUUCAAGACCCGGUAUCUUCACCAAAAAGUAAACGAAUCUAGAUUUAGAUUUUUGGACCUUACAAAGGUGCACAAAACAGCAAGUUUUCAGAUUUUUAGUUGGAAAUAAACUCACCGAAACAGCCACAAAGUUGUCGAAAAAAAUAGGGUGGUUGGGGAUGUUUCCGGCAGCUUUCUCGCCUCUUUUUCUUCGUGUUUUCGCAGCAGCACUUGAGGGGGAUCAAUGGGUUGAAAAACAAAUGACUUCAGGGGUAUAUUUGGCACGUUUGUUAGCUGUAACAGGUGGCUAGACUCAGUGGUGGCUGCUCCUUUUUGCCACCCGAAAUCACAGCAGAAAUCUCCUCCGGUGGAGGUGUUCUUCAUGAACUUUGAACACAAGAGAAGAAGUAAAGAGGAAAGAGUUUUGAGGCUGAAAUGUGUAAAGGAAAAGAAUUAAAACAUAGCUGGGUAUUUAUGCUUCAAGAUGGAUUUGACUCAUGGAGGAAAGUUAGAAGUUUUGUCAUACAUUCAUCAUGCAUGUGUACUAGUAACUUCCAUGAGUGGAGAAAUAUGUGAGGGAGAAAAGAAAGAAGAAAGAAAACGUGAGGUGAAUGUGUUUGUGUGUUAAAGUCUCUCAUCUACAUUGUACUUCAAAGUGAGACUUUAAAGCAACCUCUUUUAAUGAGUGGUACUUGCUUCAUAAUGAGAAUUUGAGGCAUUUGUGGUUGGAAGGCUUUAAUUACGUGAAUAGGAAGAGGUAGCUCUUAGGAGUUGACUUGGCCUUCAAUGCUAGUUCUAUUUAUAUUAAGAGUUAAUUGUAUGUACUAGUUCUUAAAUUGGUGUAGUGUCAUAAAUGGAUUCUUGGGUUUUUAUGGAUAACUUUCGAGACAUCUAACCAUAUACACACAUACAUACAUCUCAUACUUAUUUAUUUUGUUACACUUUUGUCAUAAAAAUAAUAAGGUUCACCUAUUAUUACUUAACAUAAUUGCAUGGACUUAGAUAUAUAUUUUUUUAAAUAAUAUGAACUUAACCAUAUACAUAUAUUAUUGAUUUUAUUAGCAUAUAACUAGUCGCAAUCUAAUAAUGAUCUAUAUCAAACGAUUCUUAAUAAAAAAAAUAUAUACUUAUUUUUUUUUAAGAACGUCGUACAUUAAGUCCUGCAGCAAAAUUAGUUAUGGUCGUCAUUCGACGGACAUCGACCUAAUUUUUACGAUUGUUACAUUCUCCCCCCGUUAAAAGAAUUUCGUCCCGAAAUUUAACGCAUAGAUAAUAUAUUGUAAAACAAUUGAUGGUAUUUCCUUUUUGAUCGAUCCACACAUGAACAUUUUAUAGUCGUUUUAAGUAGUAUAAUUGAAGAUUAGGUAUUCGGUCGAACGGAUGGCUCUAUUCUAGUCAUACAAAAAAGAAAUGAAGAGAGAAUAUGAUCGAAUCAUGUCUUUUAAGGUUAUCGAAUCUCAUUUACAAUUCUAUCGGGUGUACUUUCCUAAUUAUGAAAUAUUUGUACGGUUUCCUAACUCACUUCUUUGAAACAUAGAUAACAAGUGUGCCAUCGGAUAGAAACUCCAGGAGACUUGGCAUAUGAAAAAGAGUCGUAUACAUCAUUCAGUUCUCAAGAUAACUCGAUAUAAAUAUCAGCACCAAGUUCUAUUAAGAACUUCUAAGGUCCUUUGGGCUGCAGGUAUAACCUGACUCGUUCUCUAAACCAAAUCAUUUCUCUAAAAGAGUAGGCGUUUAAAAGCAACAUAGUCUUCGACUUUGAAGUCGAGAAGCUCACAUCUAUUGUUCACAUAACUCUCUUUUUGUUCAAGUACAAUCUAAAAUCUUUCAUCGGUUCACACGAGUGAUUCUUGGAGUCACAUGCAAUACAUCACCUGCAUGCUCUUUGUUCAGUUUCGUAUCUCCCACCAUUGUUCAACAUAUCGAGGAUCACACUUUCGCCAUACAAAGACUCAAGCGGUGAGGUCUCUAUGCUAGUGUGACCAUUAUCAUCGUAGGAAACUCAAUUAACGGAAAUGAGUAUUCCAUGCAAUAUUCAAAGUCUAUCAUACAGGUUCAGAGCAUAUUACUCAAGUUGAGAUGGUACGUUCGAUCUAGCCAUUUGGGGCAAAUAGUCAUGCUUAUGCCUAAGCGCGCACUCGAAUAUUUCAUUGAUUGUCAAGACUAAUAGGUGAAUCUACUUUCUUAAGGAAUGAUGAUAGAGAUCGGCACCUCGUGCAACCUGACAAUUUCUUUGGCAAGUACUGGUUAGCUUUUCCAUUUCAUAUGGUUCUUAGAUUAGCAGGAAGUAGACGUACUUAGUCAAUCUUUGGACCACUACCCAAAUAUAAUUAGAAACCAUUAGGUUUCUUGGGUAGUUUUGAUAUAAAGUCCAUUAACAUUGGUUCCCACUUGUACUUGGGUAUUUCUCUACCAUUACUCUAUUCCUGAGUGUUUCUGACAUUCUGCAUUUGGUACAAGUCUGACAUUUGUCCACUCAAGUGGCAAUCUCCUCUUUCAUGCACAUUCAUCACUUCAAUUCUUUCAAAUCUAAAAACAUUUAGUCAGAGCCUGGAUGAAUGGGACACUUUUAUCUGUGAGCCUUGUUUAAGACUAUGCUCCCGUGUUCACUGCACUUAAGCGUACAAAUUUGGCUCAUAUAGUAUCACGUCCCGUCAUCCCUAAGCUUGACAUGAUUAUCCAAUCUUCACAAAGCUUCACUCGCGAAGCCUUUCCUUUCUCAGAGUCUUGAGUUAAACUUCUCGAAUUUGAGCUGUAGGUUGUGAAUGGAUAUUCAUAGUUAACAUUUGUACCCAAUAGGGUUUGGUACAUUCUUUUCUACUCAAGACAUUUUCUACUAUGUCAACCUCAUCACAAGGUUAACGAAUCUCACACGUCAUGACAACAAAUUUCUUAUUUAUUUCAUUUAACAUAAAACAUAGGUAAAACCUUAUCUUAAUUCAUCCAUAGGCACCUCAAUCCUUUAUGUACAUGUUGUCGUAUACGAACAAGUUCUCUUGUUUUUUUCUAAAAAGUAGGAUUGGUGCGUUACACCAUAGUUAUUCCAACUUCUAGAAUAAAAUUUCCUGCUUCCAAUUGGAAUUGUUUCCUUUUGGUGUUAACAUAGUUAACAGUUGGGCUACCAUAAAGAAGUUCUCGAUGGAUCACUGGUAGUAUCCAACAUAAAUUCUUUUGUUGUUAAUAUUCCAGCGUUCAUUUUUUGGGAAGAAGUCUUCACUUAAACUUCCACAUUUUAUCAAAUCCUUCACAUUUGAUUAAAUUCUUCACAUUUUAUCAAAUCCUUCACUUUUGAUGAUAUCCUUCACAUUUCAUCAAAUCCUUCAUAUUUGAUUAAGUCCUUCACAUUUGAUCUUCAGGGCGAGAAAGCAUCUUUAGGUUCUUCUCCGACUUGUCAUCAUAAAUGACCAUGUCUUUCUCAUGGGGUAGCCUUCGUCAUACCGUUUUCUUGUAGUAAAAAUGUAGACACAAUGGGGAGACAUUCGAUUUAAACCUAAGAUAAUGUCCAAGUUUCCGCUCGGAAUUGGUAUAAAGUCUAUAAGUAAAGAUCGAUCGUUCAUGGUUACAGCUAAGGGGGUCGUAUAACGACUUGACGUGACACAAACAAACCAUGUCAUAUAGACAACAAUAUUGGACUUCCGGUAACAUACGCACAAGAUUGACGUGACAAACGUGAUUUGGUAAGUAUUAGGAUGAAAUUUAUUAACAUUUCGCGAGUAUAUUUCUGACAUCUCACUAGUUGUCUCUACUCUACAGGUUUCCUUCAAUCUAUCGGAUUCAUGGCUUAUAAUAGAUUUAUCUUUAAGGUUCACGAAUAUUUCUCCACACACCUAAAACACAAUUACUCCAGCAUACAAGUUGUUACUAAGUAACGUACCAGAUACUACUGAUAGUUCUUGGAUUUUCCUUCCUUGUUUUGAUUGAGAUUUCCCCGACUCGAGUUGUUACCUUCUGGUUCUUUAGUCUUGGGCAGUUUCUCUCAAAGUGCCAAUUUUUACCAUUUUCGUAAUAAGCUUUUCUUCCACCAAUUCUUGUUCUCAUAUCUGCAUUUCAUCUCUUAGUAUCACACUCUUAUGAGCAUCGCCUGUAGUCCUCAAGUCGUGGCAUAAGCAGAUUCGAUGCCCACAGUUUACACAUAAUAGUUCUACUUGGUAAAAUUUGUGUCCUUAAAAGUGUAGGUGUCAACUUAACAUUAUAGCCUUCCUUACAAGAGCUGAAAUGAAAUACUUAUUCCAUCCGUUCGCUCCACAGAGUUAUUCCUACAAUUCCUUCAAUGUCGUAGAAAAAUCUAGGUUGACGUCACUAUUAUUUCCAUGUUUGUUGCUUAAAAAUCUACCUUGUACCAAGCCGUUGUUCCUGUUCACUUUGUAAGUGACCAAGAUGUUAACUACUAGUUGUUCGAUCAUUAUCUUGAUCAUAGUUGCGUCGAGCGAUUUUGUUGGUGUCGAACGAUCACUCCUUGAUUUCUUGUGAGACAUCGCUUUGUCUCGUUAUAAUUUGUUCAAGGAGAAAUAAGUCGUGUGAAAAUAUCGCUAUGAACAUAAGCGAUAAAGUUUCAAUUGUGACAAACAUGCAGAAUCGACGUGGGUUUGCCCGAGAUUAACUCUAUUACGAGUAUUAGAUGUAGCAAACUUCUACAGUACCACCAAGGGUGAAAUGUUACACUUGGAACGAGUGAAAAGAAACUACCAAGUAUUGGAACAAGUUGCCAAAAUUUACGAAGAAAAUGCUACAGGGAAAGUUGACUACUACCCGACGUCUUGACUAUAUCUCGAGUUCUAAAAUUCUGAUUUAUUUAAAUCGAGAUAUUUUGGAAACUAGGCAAGAUUCCUAACAACUUUCAUGUUUCACGCUUUUAUUGAGUCCGCCAUGUUCUCCUUUAAAAAAAAUGCUAACAAAAGACGAAGGGUAGGCAUAGGUGUCCUUCUUUUGAACUUGGAUGGUUCAAUUAUAAGUCGGAUGGUUCACAACAAAACGAAACGGACUAAGUGAAUACUUAAGCCGAAUUCGAAACAAUUCACAAAGGUGCGUAUAUUUUGUAAGGUAUUCCUACGAGGUUUAACAGAUGCACUUGUAGAUUAUCAUAGCCGAGUACUUAGUAUUCCGAGAUAAACUUCAGACAUGAUUUAUGUUUCUGAUACUUAUAGUUUCAUGAGAAUUUGUAGUAAAUAUUCGCUAAAUUGUCGUAAAAUGUUAAUUAAACCUUUGAGGGUUCUUAAGCGUUUCGAACUAUGAUUUUAUUUAAAUAUUAUGGAUUCCAAGCGUUUUAGUCUAUCAAAAACCGAAUCUAAGCUUAAUUGUUCAUCGGUCCAACCAUAAUUAAACAUAGGUGAUCAGUCUAUGUCUAGUUGUGGUUCGGCCCACAUACAAUCAACUUAAUUAAGGUGUUUGACCUAAAACCUUGCGGUGUAUUAGCAUUCGAGGGUUCGAGUUUAUAUAACUCUAUAUUGAUGGGGUUAAGGAAUAUACCUAACCUAAAAGAGUAAGCCCUAGGCUAUAGUUGUGCUUUCCUAAGAAAGUACUAGUUCGCUAUAGCCAAUAGCUCUGAUACCAAUCUGUCACACCCUCGGCCAACGGCGGAAACGCCGAGGUGCAUGACAUAAACCAGUAAUCACAGUUAUUGAACAUACAUUGAACAAUAGAAAUAUAAUCUUUUAUUACUACCGAAAUGGAAAUUACAUUGACAAUAGUUAUUGCUGAAACGCUACACACGCCUAACAAUCCGACGUUCACAUUUGUAUGAUAAGAAUAUCAGAGAAUCUUCUGUACAAACUCUUCUGACCUUAUAAAUAAAAUGAGAAUACAUGCAUUAAGAUACGUCAACAAAAUUGUUGGUGAGUUCUACAAGUUUUGACACAAAGUAUUUUUACUCCCAAAAAUGUUUUAUAAAAUUUAUCUGGUUGACCAGCUUUUAUAAACACAUAUUUUUCUAUCGAAAGUAUAAAAUAAUUGCGUCAUAAAAGUAUAUUUAAACUCAUUUAGAAAUGUCAUUUGCUCAAAUCCAAAAAUACACCAUUUGUAAAAUAUAUAAGUAAACCAAACUUAUAACAAAUUCUUACGGUUCUCAUGACCGAAAUGCUCUUUAUAUAAAGAUUUUGAAAGCCAAUUUAUAUAAAAUAAAUUCAUAUCACACUUUGUGAAAACAUAAAAUAGCCAAGUUUACUCUUAAAACUUUGUACAAACGUUCGUAUAGUUUAUAUGUAAAACUCAUAAGUUUCAAAUUUUAUAAACUUUGUAAAUUCGUGUCGUAUUAUUAAUUAAGUAUUAUCUUACUUAAUUUGGAAAUCAACACUUAACCAGUGGGGCAAACUCAUCCCAAAAUACUUUUCAAUAACCGGUAAAUUAUAAAUGCAUAUUUUUACCACUCGUAUAAUUUCAACGACAAAUAUUAACCAUUAUCUUUACAAUUAUAUUCUUUCAAACGUCUCUGCUUACGGAGAAUUGAGUCGUAGGGAGAGGUAGUUAAAUACCUAAACACUCUUACACACUCGGCCCAAAUUGGGAGGAUUGACUCAAUCUAGAUCUAUACUUCUUCGAAUAAAAAUCUUCAAUAUAUCAAUUUGUCUAUAACCGACACUAUUCGUCGCUCCUCCACAAGCCAAAAAGGCACAAUAAACAAGCCACACAGGCACAAUAUAAAUAUAAAUGGAGGAAUCGAGAUCAUUACUAACGUUUAAAAGCAGUCGUAUAGUAACGAAGAAAGAAACACUUGACGCCUGUUGCCUCGUCAGACGAAGUUGUAGCUAGCAACCACAGACGGAAAAUAACCAUUCACAUAAAUCUUUCCAUAAGAAAUAGAUCUACACCAAAGUUCUUUAUUAUAAAUCUAUGCCGUGUGCAUAGACCUACAGUAUAUGAUUCCUCCUGGAUUAACGGUUAUAGAGCUAGGUGUCGAUUCCAGGAUUUGAUCCUUACAAAGGAAAAAUACACCAUCAUAAAACUCUCUCUUUCACCCCUUUCGAU